AUACAGGGGGUGCGAGCGUUAAUCGGAAUUACUGGGCGUAAAGAGUACGUAGGCGGUUGCUUAAGUCAGAUGUGAAAGCCCCGGGCUCAACCUGGGAACUGCAUUUGAAACUGAGUGACUAGAGUUUAAGAGAGGGGAGUAGAAUUCCGGGUGUAGCAGUGAAAUGCGUAGAGAUCCGGAGGAAUACCAGUGGCGAAGGCGGCUCCCUGGCUUAAAACUGACGCUGAGGUACGAAAGCGUGGGUAGCAAACAGGAUUAGAAACCCCAGUAGUCC
rnacentral:rRNA from 1 species